CCUUCGGGUUGUAAACCCCUUUUCUCGGGGAAGAUAGUGACGGUACUCGAGGAAUAAGUUUCGGCUAACUACGUGCCAGCAGCCGCGGUAAGACGUAGGAGGCGAGCGUUAUCCGGAUUUACUGGGCGUAAAGGGCGUGUAGGCGGCUCUUUAAGUCUGUGGUGAAAUCCCCCGGCUCAACUGGGAGGGGGCCACAGAUACUGGAGGGCUUGAGGGCAGCAGAGGGGGGUGGAAUUCCCGGUGUAGUGGUGAAAUACGUAGAUAUCGGGAGGAACACCAGUGGCGAAGGCGGCCCCCUGGGCUGUUCCUGACGCUGAGGCGCGAAAGCGUGGGGAGCGAACAGGAUUAGAUACCCUGGUAGUCCACGCCGCAAACGAUGGACACUAGGUAUGGGGGGUAUCGACCCCCUCCGUGCCGAAGCUAACGCUUUAAGUGUCCCGCCUGGGGAUUACGGCCGCAAGGCUAAAACUCAAAGGAAUUGACGGGGGCCCGCACAAGCAGCGGAGCGUGUGGUUCAAUUCGAUGCAAAGCGAAGAACCUUACCAAGGCUU
rnacentral:rRNA from 1 species